UGGUCAAAACAGGUGUACUUUGGGAAUAAAAGGUCAAAGUAGUGUAUUUUAGGAAAAGAAUGGAGAGAGAAUAUGUAAUUUGGUAAAAAAACCCAUCUUCUUGCCUAUAAAUAGACCCAAAUAAUGUGAGGUUCCAUACUCCAAAAUCCACAUCUAGCAGCAAAUUAUGGAAUCCCAUGAUGAAGAGCAUGCUGCCAAACUACUUAGAGCUCAAACCCACAUAUGGAAUCACAUAUUUAGCUUCAUAAACUCCAUGUCCCUUAAAUGUGUGGUUGACUUAGGCAUACCAGAUAUCAUACACAACUAUGGCCAACCCAUGCCACUCUCAAACCUCAUUGCUUCACUACCAAUCCACCCAUCCAAAACUUGCUUCGUCCAUCGCUUGAUGCGAAUCAUGAUCCAUUCUGGCUUCUUCUCUUUACAAAAUCAUGACUUGGAGAAUGAGCUAGAAGCCAAGUAUGUGCUAACCGAUGCAUCUGUACUACUGCUUAAGAACCAUCCGAUGAGUGUGACACCUUUCUUGCAUGCCAUNNNNNNNNNNNNNNNNNNNNNNNNNNNNNNNNNNNNNNNNNNNNNNNNNNNNNNNNNNNNNNNNNNNNNNNNNNNNNNNNNNNNNNNNNNNNNNNNNNNNNNNNNNNNNNNNNNNNNNNNNNNNNNNNNUCACUUGUUCAAUGAUGCCAUGGCAAGUGAUGCUCGAUUUGUCACUAGUUUGGUGAUUGAGAAAUGUAAGGGAGUGUUCAUGGGAUGGAGUCAUUGGUUGAUGUUGGGGGAGGCACAGGGACCAUGGCAAAAGCCAUUGCUAAAUCAUUCCCUCGGGUGGAAUGCAUUGUGUUUGAUCUACCACAUGUUGUUUCUGGCUUGAAAGGAAGUGAGAACCUUAAAUAUGUUGCAGGGGACAUGUUUGAGGCAAUUCCUCCAGCUGAUGCCAUUUUGUUAAAGGUAAAUCACUAUUCACAUUCAGAAUACAAUUUUACAUUCAUACCAUUAACACCCAGUUUUUAUACUUGAGUGAUGUCAAAUUUUAAAGAAUUAAAGCAAAUAAUUGAUCGAUUGGAAAAAAAAAUGAACGAUUUUAUGAUCAUUGAUCACUUGAAAUAACUUCAAAUAUAUAUAUGUAUAUUGUUCACUAAGCUAGUAAGCUAGCACCAGCUAGUAGUCCAACUACAUAUCUGCCACUAUCAUACCAAAUCAGACCAACUAAGUGGUCUAUAUGGCUUGUAAUAAUUAGUACUAGUUUACUAAGUGGGUACGUAAAGUAACUAGCAUAUGAUUAUUUGAAAAGUAAAUCUCUGCUCAUAUUCUAGAAAAAAUAGUUAUAGAUCUCUUCAAAUUUGACUUUUCUUUUUUCUGAAGUAUUGACUAUAUGUUGCGGUUAAAAACAUUACAUGAUGUGCCAAUUCAUUCUACCAAGCUUAAUAUGAAUGCAAGUCAAUAUUUUAUGAUUCUGAUCGGUGUGUUACUUUGAAUGACAAAGCAGUGGAUAUUGCAUGACUGGAAUGAUGAGGAGUGUGUGGACAUAUUGAAGAAAUGCAAAGAGGCCAUAACGAGGAAAGGCAAAGAAGGGAAGGUGAUCAUCAUAGACAUGGUGGUGGAGAAUGAGAAGAGAGAUGAUGAAUCAGUUGAAACACAGCUCUUCUUUGAUAUGCUGAUGAUGGUGUUGGUCACUGGAAAAGAGAGAAGCAAGAAAGAAUGGGCUAAGUUGAUUUCCUCUGCUGGUUAUAACAACUACAAGAUAACUCCAGUCUUGGGCUUAAGGUCUCUCAUUGAGAUCUAUCCAUAGUAAGUUAAUGAGAUGUGCCAGCACUCUAUCAUUCAUAUAUGUUAGGGCUAUAAUUUUUCUGUUUCGAUUCAUGAGUGAAUGUUGGAUAAGUAACAAUAGCAAUAGACUGAACUCUCUUCAUCAUAGUUGUGUUGUUGGAACAGUACUGUCAAGAAAGGAAAAAAAAAAAAUCUGAGGAUAAGUAUAGUUUGCGUGGUAUAUAUAGCAGGUGAAGAAAAAAAGGAACAUGUGGUUAAAGAGCACAGUGAGUUUGGCAAUUACUUUUUUUUUUGGUAACUGAAUUUGCCUUGUAUUAGAUUUGUGAAGAACUAAGUUUGUGAGAGUUGUUAUUGAAUAAGAUUGUUUCUAAAGGUUUGAUAAAGGUAUAAUGGUUUAUCUAAAUACAUUUCAAUAUUUUAGUAUUUUAAUUAAGUUCAUAAUGAUGUGAUUAUGUGUCAUGUCAAUAAAGAUAUAUCAUUAAUCUCAUCUUAAUAAUAGUGUCAUGCAAACAAUGAAAUUAAUGAGACUAAAAUAAAAUAAAAAGAAUUUUAUGGAGACAUAAAAUAGAUAAAAUAAAUAUUACAGAAACUAAAAAUGAAAAGAAAUUAUAAGAAUAAAAAAAAAAGAAUUUGCUUAUAUCUUCAAAGGUCACUUUAAGUUGUUUAUAUUUUUUAUUUUAAAUAUUGGGUUGCACCAAAGAAAUGAUCAUUAUAUUCAUGUUAAGAAUAAAUAAAGCAAAACAUAAUGACCAAAAAAUAUAGCAAAUUAAAUCCUAUAAUUUUUCUUUUGGAUGAAGUAUGAAUAUAAAAAGUAAGAGACAACAAAGUUUAAGACAUCACGAAAGAAUUUUUCAUAAAUUUCUCUAUAAUGACUUUAGGAUAAAAAUCUCAUCUUUGACUUCAAAACACUUGAACACAUAUCCUAAUUAGCUAAAGUAUCAAUCACAUGAUUAGAAUCAUGUGACAUAAUUGCAACUAACAAAGUUCAAAUGUUUCUUACUAAUGCUAUUAAAUAAAAUAAGAUUAAUUGAAAUUUAUUUGUAUUUGAAGUCAAGACUGUUAACUCGUUGACAAGUGUACCAAAUUUGUCACAAGUAAUAAAGUACUCGGAAGUCCGAGUGUCGAAUCCACUGGGAUUUUGUGUUGUACUUAUCUUGGAUACUUUUCAAUUUAUAAGGAAUUAAAAGAAAAAGUAGAAGGCAAUAAUAGUAAAUUAUAAAUAGAAAGCAAAAGAAUUAAAAGCAAAAUAAUUAAAGAGAGAAUUCAAUGGAAUGCGAAUGUUAGGACCUAGCAUGCCUUGUUUGCCUAGGAUGUAUGAAUUUAUGAUUUUUCUUCACCAAUUUAGGUGAUUCUAUUCUACCCACAUCUGUUCAUUUACUUGCCCCUGAUUCCUCACGAUGACAAGUCUAUUUUAUUCAUUUAUCUCCCAAAUUCCUUUGUAAAAACUCAACAAAUAAAAUGCAUGAAGUAUGAAUUCUAGAUGUUUGCAAGAAUGCAUGGGCAUAAAAUUAUCAUUCUAUUCCUAGCAAUGACUUUCUUAUGAAAUCCUUUCUUUUUGUUCUAUUAGAAGUUACCUUCUUCCGAGUGUCUAACCCCUAAAACUAAUGCAUGCAUACCUUCUUUAAAUCUUGUUUAGAAGUUACCAUCUCCCGAGUGUCUAACCCCUAAAAGAAUAUAAAGAUGAAUAAUGCAAGAUAAAAACAGAAAAGAUAAUAGAAUAGAAAAACCUGGAAAAUAAUCCUGUUGCAUUGAUAAAUAUGAAGUACAUCAUACAUUUCUUUGACUUUUUAGGCCUACCAGGCCCUAACUAGGAGUUUAGUCACUCAUGGCCAUUGAGGGCUUUACAAUGAGAAGGGGGUGAAAAAAAGAUGAUAAAAAAAAGGAAGAGAGUAAAAAUUCUCAGGCUUUGAGUAGUAGUGAGAGUGCUCUCUGAGACUUGGUGUUUUCCUCCUUGGCCUGACUCUCUAUCUAUAGCUGAUGAAGUGGACUUGGGCUUGAUUCAAACAAUCUUCCUUAUCUAUCUUUUUUAUAUCUUUUGGAUCUUGUAAAUCUUAUCUUUCCUAUAUCUGCAAGUCAUAGAUAAGAAAAUAUCAAUUCAUAUCUUUUAAGUCAAAAUUAACUGCUAAAUAAAUAUCUUUAAAGAUAUUUUCAAAUUAGCUCAUAUUUAACAGUUAUCAAUAUCUUUUAGAUCUUGUAAUCUUAUCUUUUUAUAUCUGCAAGCCAUAAAUAAUAAAAGUAUCAAUUCUUAUCAUUUAAGCAAAAAAAUAACUGUUAAAUAAAUAUUUUCAAAGAUAUUUUCAAUAUAUUUUUAUUAUGAAAUAACUCAUAUUUAACAGUUAUCAAAGACACAGAUAUAUUUUUUUGCUUGCAUUCGAAAUCAAAGAAAGCAAGUACAUCUAAGCGCUUAAUGAAGAUGGUUGGAGGUAGACAGAGGUGAAUUCACAUAUAAGCUUGUUUCCCCAGUAUGAAUUUUUAUACUUGAAUAUAAUACUCCUAUUCAUGUGGGCAUAGAUGCAAAAGUUUGAGAUGAGGAAGGUCACAAGCUUGGAUAGGUUUGGAAGAUAAAUGGUUUGUGAGAAUAUAUAAAUGCUAAAUUAAAACAUAUUAUUGGAAGACAGUUGAAGGAUUGACGUCGGAGUAGUUAGUGCAGUGGAAAUAAAUGCCAUUAUUGGAGGACGGUUGAAAGAUUAGCGUAGGUGGGGCUAGUUAUUUCGGUGGGAAUAAAUGCUAAAUUAAAACAUAUUAUUGGUGGAAAUUUGGGAUGGAAAUGAGUCACGCCGCUUGUCAAGGGCCUUUUGCUCGACCUAUUUAAGACUUGGUUUGACUUGACUUGUUUAUUAUAAAGGUCAAACUUAAGCUUUUUAAAAAGCUAUUUUAGAUAAAAAUGACAAAGGCAAAUUAUAAAAAAUAAACUUGUUAAGCUUGACAAACCGGCUUGUUAAGCUUGACAAACUGGCUUAUUUAAGUAAUAAUAAUAAUAAUAACUAUUAUCUAUACCAUUUUUAUGGAAUUAUGAAUGACAGGCUGAAGCGACAUAAGGUGCUUAGAGAAUUCACUUGCAUGUGAAAAAUUUUCAAAAGAAAAGAUUCAAGUUAAAGGAUCAAGAAAUCAGAUGAAUACUUCAAAUGAAAAGAAUGUUUUGUAAAAUAUUGUCAGACAAUGUAAAUAGUUUUAUUUGACUAUAGUAAUAUAAAUCAUCGUUAAUCCAAUAUAUUGUUUAAUAUUAUGCUCUCUUUUUUUUCAUUUUCUUGUGAUAUACUUUGUGUUUUAACAACUUGAAUUUAAUAUGAUUUUGUUUAUCAAUUAUUUUUGGAUUUGUACAUUACUUAUAUGAAAUUUUAUAAGUUUUUUUUAGUUAAUAUUUCACUAGGUUUUAGAACAAUUAAUUGGUCAAAGACGUCUUUAAGCAGAUUUUUAAAUAGGCUCGUAGGUAAAAUCAGACUUCAAUGUGAGUCGAGCCGAGCCUUAAAAAAAAUUCUAUGAUAGGUAAUGAGACAAGCUCAAGUCUUGCUUAUUCAACUCAAGCCGAGCUCAAGCCUAAUAAAGCUUGAUUUGCCUUGACUCAUUUUCACUCCUAGUGAGAAUAGGGGUCAACUUCUAAUUUUACUAUAGGCACUUUAAUUAAUAGGGGUGGGUAAGCGGGUUGGCCCGCCCCGCGUAAGGCUAGUCCGCAUAAGCCCGCAUUGGCAGUGGAUCGGGUCAGCCCGCCCCGCAUUCUUACACUGACCAAAUAUAUUGGUCCGCCCCCGCCCCGCGAACCCCGCGAGUCAAACGGGCCAGUCCGUGGGCCUUGUUUUAAAAGAAUUUCAAUUUCAAUAAAAAUGCAACACAAUCAAAUUAAGUUCAAUACAAAUGUAAAUAAAAUCUUAACAAUUAGUCAAUUACAUCAAUAAAAUAAAUAAUGUCUUACAAAAGAAAAUCCAAGCAAUAAAUUUAAAAUAUGAAACUUAAACAUCUCUAACAACAAAUGAUUCUACAUUUAAAGUAAUAUAAUCCUAAUGCGGGCAAUUCGCAGACCCCGUGGGCCAAACUCGCAUAUUCUGCGGGUUAAGUGGGGCGGAUCCAAAAAUAUGACAUCAUCAUGGACCGUUUAAAAAAAUUGAUCCAUUAUCCGCGCGAACCACGGAACCCGGGGGCCAGUCGAUGGACCUGGGCCUGUUUACCCACCCUUAUUAAUUAGCAAGCUAUUAUAUUAUAUUGGUGGAUUAGGACAUCUAUAGUCCAAGGAAUAUAAAAUUUACCUGACUCUUUGUAACUAUGCAUGUGAUCUAUCUAAUGAAUUCCACCUCCUUUUUAUACAUCAUACACAUGCAAUGUUAAUCACUAUGAUAUAAAACAUUUAAAUUAUAUAUUAUUAUUACUAUGAUUUUUUUAAGAUAGAUAUAUUCAAAAUUAAAAAAAUUAUUAUAUUGGAUGGAUAAUGAUUUAAUAAUAUAGUAAAAUUAUUUUAUACUUGUUGGUGUAUAAUCAUUUUUUCUACAAAUAAAUAAAAAUAAUUAUAAUAUAAAACAUUAAUAUACCAUAAAAAUUAAAUAUUAAAAAAGAAAUGUAAAUAAUCAAUUAAAAUAUAUAAAAUUUAUAACAAUUUAUUCAUAUUUGAGAAAUUUUAAAAAUAUGUAUAUAAAUUAUUUUUCAAAUAAAUAUAUUAUUAAUAUACAUAAUUCAAACUAUGAAAAAUAUAUUAUUGAAAUAUUUAAAACACCAAAUACAUUUUAAAAAUUUGAUUUAAAUAAUAUUAAAAUUAAAACAUAACAAUCUCAAAAAAUAUUUUUAUAAAUCAGUCUUUUGUUGGAGAUAAGAAAAUACACUUUAGUUUUUAAUUCUAAAUAUUUAAUAUUGUAUUUGUUUUUUUCCAUACUGUAAUAUAUAAAAAAAUGUAUAAUCUAUUUAAGUUUUAGUAUUUUAUAGUGAAUUUCAAUUUGUUAGUUCUUUACAUAUUAAUUUUCUUUUUCAAAUUUUGUAGUAUCAUAUAUUACCUUUUUAAUAUUUGAAAGACUUGUAAUAUCAAAUAAAAUAAUAUUGCAAUUAAUGUAUAUAUUAACAUAUAAAAAUGAAUAGCAUAGAUAAAAAAAAAAUCAAGUAUGAUCGACAAUGAAAGUUUAAUCAUUGAAAAAGUUGCAUGAUGUCUUCUCGGGUACACCACUCUACUUCUAUAAGUGGUGCAUUGAUUUACUAGAUAAGUUUUUUUUAAGGAAUCCAUUAAAUGUAUUUUUCUCCAAUCCUGAUAUUAUUACAAAGUUGUUUUCACGUGGUGAUUAAUUUUCAAGAUGAUGAGCACAUACAAGAUAAUUUUCAGGAUCAAGAGCACAUACAAAAUAGCUUAUAAGAUUUUAAGUUACACUACAUACAAUUUGGUCAAAUUUUCUUAUAUUGUAAAAAGUUAUAGAUAAAAGUGAUGAUAAUUGUUGUCACCACUACUGAAGAAAGAAGAUUCUAAAUUGGUUAUUUGGAGCAUUCUACAUUGGUUGAGGAUCGUCGUAGUAGACCACAUCGUCAAAAGGGAAACCUAAUCUAGGACGGUCGCAAAGACUAUCUUAAAAAAUGUGUGUUUCUAAUUGCAGUCCCAAACUUUCCAAAAUUUAAUAUAGUGGUCAAAAUCAUGAUCAUUAACUAUUUUUUAAAACGUAGCUACAGAGAAUAAAGUUGUUGCUUAAACAUCUUCACGCCUAUAAAUAGACCCAAAUAAUGUGAGGUUCCAUACUUCAAAAUCCAAAUCUAGCGAUUAAUUAUAGUUUAGGCAGCAAAUUAUGGAUUCCCAUGAUGAGGAGCAUGCUGCCAAACUACUUAGAGCUCAAACCCACAUAUGGAAUCACAUAUUUAGCUUCAUAAACUCCAUGUCCCUUAAAUGUGUGGUUGACUUAGGCAUACCAGAUAUCAUACACAACUAUGGCCAACCCAUGCCACUCUCAAACCUCAUUGCUUCACUACCAAUCCACCCAUCCAAAACUUGCUUUGUCCAUCGCUUGAUGCGAAUCAUGAUCCAUUCUGGCUUCUUCUCUCAACAAAAUCAUGACAUGGAGAAUCAGCUAGAUGCCAAGUAUGUGCUUACCGAUGCAUCUGUACUAUUGCUUAAGAACCAUCCGAUGAGUGUGACACCUUUCUUGCAUGCCAUGCUUGAUCCAAUUUUGACAAAUCCAUGGAAUCAAUUUUCUACUUGGUUCAAAAAUGGUGACACUACACCAUUUGAAACGGCACAUGGGAUGAUGCUUUGGGAUUACGCUGGCGCUGAUCCAAAACAUAAUAACUUGUUCAAUGAUGCCAUGGCAAGUGAUGCUCGAUUUGUCACUAGUUUGGUGAUUGAGAAAUGUAAGGGAAUGUUCAUGGGAUUGGAGUCAUUGGUUGAUGUUGGGGGAGGCACAGGGACCAUGGCAAAAGCCAUUGCUAAAUCAUUCCCUCGGGUGGAAUGCAUUGUGUUUGAUCUACCACAUGUUGUUUCUGGCUUGAAAGGAAGUGAAAACCUUAAAUAUGUUGCAGGGGACAUGUUUGAGGCAAUUCCUCCAGCUGAUGCCAUUCUGUUAAAGGUAAAUCACUAUUCACAUUCAGAAUACAAUUUUACAUUCAUACCAUUAACACCCAGUUUUUAUACUUGAGUGAUGUCAAAUUUUAAAGAAUUAAAGCAAAUAAUUGAUCGAUUGGAAAAAAAAAAUGAACGAUUUUAUCAUCAUUGAUCACUUGAAAUAACUUCAAAUUUUUAUAUGUAUAUUGAUCACUAAGCUAGUAAGCUAGCACCAGCUAGUAGUCCAACUACAUAUCUGCCACUAUCAUACCAAAUCAGACCAACUGAGUGGUCUAUAUGGCUUGUAAUAAUUAGGACUAGUUUAUUAAGUGGUUACGUAAAGUAGCUAGCAUAUGAUUAUUUGACAAGUAAAUCUCUGCUCAUAUUCUAGAAAAAAUAGUUAUAGAUCUCUUCAAAUUUGACUUUUCUUUUUUCUGAAGUAUUGACUAUAUGUUGCGGUUAAAAACGUUACAUGAUGUGCCAAUUCAUUCUACCAAGCUUAAUAUGAAUGCAAGUCAAUAUUUAUUUCUUUUGUAUGAUUCUUAUCGGUGUGUUACUUUGAAUGACAAAGCAGUGGAUAUUGCAUGACUGGAAUGAUAAGGAGUGUGUGGACAUAUUGAAGAAAUGCAAAGAGGCGAUAACGAGGAAAGGCAAAGAAGGGAAGGUGAUCAUCAUAGACAUGGUGGUGGAGAAUGAGAAGAGAGAUGAUGAAUCAGUUGAAACACAGCUCUUCUUUGAUAUGCUGAUGAUGGUGUUGGUCACUGGAAAAGAGAGAAGCAAGAAAGAAUGGGCUAAGUUGAUUUCCUCUGCUGGUUAUAACAACUACAAGAUAACUCCAGUCUUGGGCUUAAGGUCUCUCAUUGAGAUCUAUCCAUAGUAAGUUAAUGAGAUGUGCCAGCACUCUAUCAUUCAUAUAUGUAAGGGCUAUAAUUUUUCUGUUUCGAUUCAUGAGUGAAUGUUGGAUAAGUAACAAUAGCAAUAGACUGAACUCUCUUCAUCAUAGUUGUGUUGUUGGAACAGUACUGUCAAGAAAGGAAAAAAAAAAAAUCUGAGGAUAAGUAUAGUUUGCGUGGUAUAUAUAGCAGGUGAAGAAGAAAAGGAACACGUGGUUAAAGAGCACAGUGAGAGUUUAGCAAUUACUCUUUUUUUGGUAACUGAAUUUGCCUUGUAUUAGAUUUGUGAAGAACUAAGUUUGUGAGAGUUGUAUUAAAUAAAAUAAGAUUAAUUGAAAUUUAUUUGUAAUUGAAGUCAAGACACAUAUAUAUUUUUUUGCUUGCAUUCGAAAUCAAAGAAAGCAAGUUCAUCUAAAAACUUAAUGAAAAUGGUUGGAGGUAGACAGCGGUGAAUGCACAUAUAAGCUUGUUCUCACAGUAUAAAUUUUUAUACUUGAAUAUAAUACUCCUAUUCAUGUGGGCAUAGAUGCAAAAGUUUGAGAUGAGGAAGGUCACAAGCUUGGAUAGGUUUGGAAGAUAAAUGAUUUGUGAUAAUAUAUAAAUGCUAAAUUAAAACGUAUUAUUGGAAGACAGUUGAAGGAUUGGCGUUAGUGUAGUUAGUGCGGUGGGAAUAAAUGCUAUUAUUGGAGGACGGUCAUACGUGGAGCUAGUUAUUGCGGUGGGAAUAAAUGCUAAAUUAAAACAUAUUAUUGGAAGGCAGAUUGACUCGUAGAAGUUAUUGUUGUGGGAAUAAAUGCUAUUAUUGGAGGACGGUUGAAGAAUUGGUGUACGUGGGGUUAGUUAUUGCGGUGGGAAUAAAUGCUAAAUUAAAAUAUAUUAUUGAUAGACACUUGAAGGAUUGGCGUCAGAGUAGUUAGUGCGGUGGGAAUAAAUGUUAUUAUUCUCAUCUUAAUAAUAAUGUCAUGCCAACAAUGAAAUUAAUGAGACUAAAAUAAAAUAAAAAGAAUUUUAUGGAGACAUAAAAUACAUAAAAUAAAUAUUAUAGAAACUAAAAAUGAAAAGAAAUUAUAAGAAUUAAAAAAAAGAAUUUGCUUAUGUCUUCAAAGGUCACUUAAAGUUGUUUAUAUUUUUUAUUUUAAAUAUUGGGUUGCACAAAAGAAAUGAUCAUUGUAUUCAUGUUAAGAAUAAAUAAAGCAAAAUAUAAUGACCAAAAAUUAUACCAAAUUAAAUUCUAUUUUUUUUUCUUUUGGAUGAAGUAUGAAUAUAAAAUUAAGAGACAACAAAGUUUAAGACAUCACGAAAGAGUUUUUCAUAAAUUUCUCUAUAAUGACUUCAAGAUAAAAAUCUCAUCUUUGGCUUCAAAACACUUGAACACAUAUCCUAAUUAGCUAAAGUAUCAAUCAUAUGAUUAGAAUCAUGUGACAUAAUUGCAAGUAACAAAGUUCAAAUAUUUCUCACUAACGCUAUCAAAUAAAAUAAGAUUAAUUGAAAUUAAUUUGUAUUUGAAGUCAAGACACAUAUAUUUUUUUGCUUGCAUUCGAAAUUAAAGAAAGCAAGUUCAUCUAAACGCUUAAUGAAAAUGGUUGGAGGUAGACAGAGGUGAAUGCACAUAUAAGCUUGUUCUCACAGGAUAAAUUUUUAUACUUGAAUAUAAUACUCCUAUUCAUGUGGGCAUAGAUGCAAAAGUUUGAGAUGAGGAAGGUCACAAGCUUGGAUAGGUUUGGAAGAUAAAUGGUUUGUGAGAAUAUAUAAAUGUUAAAUUAAAACAUAUUAUUGAAAGACAGUUGAAGGAUUGGCAUCAGAGUAGUUAGUGCGGAGGGAAUAAAUGCUAUUAUUGGAGGACGGUUGAAGGAUUAGCGUAUGUGGGGCUAGUUAUUUCGGUGGGAAUAAAUGUUAAAUUAAAACAUAUUAUUGGUGGAAAUUUGGGAUGGAAAUGAGCCACGCCGCUUGUCAAGGGUCUUUGGCUCGACAUAUUUAAGACUUGGCUUGGCUUGGCUUGUUUACUAUAAAGGCCAAGCUCAAGCUUUGUAAAAAACUUUUUUAGAUGAAAAGGCCAAAGGCAAAUUAUAAAAAAAACUUCUUAAGCUUGACAAACCGUCUUGUUAAGCUUGACAAACUGGCUUGUUUAAGUAAUAAUAAUAAUAUUAAUAAUAAUAAAAACUAUUAUCUAUAUCAUUUUUAUAGAAUUAUGAAUGACAGGAUGAAGUGACAUAAAGUGCUUACAGAAUUCACUUGCAUGUGAAAAAAUUUUAAAAAGAAAAAGACUCAACUUAAAAGGAUAAAGCAAUCAGAUGAAUACUUCCAAAGAAAAGAAUGUUUUCUAAAAACAUUUUCAGACAAUUUAUAUAUUUUUAUUUGAUUAAAUUAAUAUAAAUCAUCUCUAAUCCAUAUAUUUUUUUAAUAUUAUGCUCUCUUUUUUUUCAUUUUCUUUUGAUAUACUUUGUGUUUUAACAACUUGAAUUCAAUAUGAUUUUGUUUAUCAAUUAUUUUUGGAUUUGUACAUUACUUAUACGAAAUUUUAUAAGUUUCUUUUUUUAGUUAAUAUUUCACUAGGUUUUAGAACAAUUAAUUGUUCAAAGACGUCUUUAAGCAGAUUUUUAAAUAGGCACGUAGGCGAAAUCAGGCUUUUAUGUGAGCCGAGCCGAGCCUUUAAAAAAAUCCUAUGACAGGUAAUGAGCCAAGCUCAAACCUUGCGUAUUCAACUCAAUUCGAGCUCAAGCCUAGUAAAGCUUAAUUUGGCUUAACUCAUUUUCACCCCUAAUGGGAAUAGGGGUCAACUUCUAAUUUUACUACAGGCACUUUAAUUAAUAGGGGUGGGUAAGUGGGCUGGCUCGCCCCGCAUAAGCCCGCAUUGGCAGUGGACCGGGCCAGCUCACCCCGCAUUCUUACACGGACCAAAUAAAUUGGUCCGCCCCCGCCCCGCGGAUCCUGCGGGUCAAACGGGCCAGUCCGUGGCCCUAGUUUUAAUAGAAUUUCAAUUUUAAUAAAAAAUACAACACAAUCAAAUUAAGUUCAAUAUAAAUGUAAAUAAAAUCUUAACAAUUAGUCAAUUACAUAAAUAAAAUAAAUAAUGCCUUAGCAAAAGAAAAUCCAAACAAUAAAUUUAAAAUAUGAAACUUAAACAUCUCUAACAACAAAUGAUUCCAUAUUUGAAGCAAUAAAAUCUUAAUGCGGGCAACCAGAAGAUCCCGCGGGCCAAACUCACAUAGUCUGCGGGUUAAGUGGGGCAGACCCAAAAAUAUGACAUAAUCAUGGACCAUUUUAAAAAAUUGAUCCGUUACCCAAGCGAAUCGCAAGCCCCGCGGACCAGUCAAUGAACCUAGGCCCGUUUACCCACUCCUAUUAAUUAGCAUGCUAUUAUAUUAUAUUGGUGGAUUAGGACAUCUAUAGUCCCAGGAAUAUAAAAUUUACCUGACUCUUUGUAACUAUUAGGGGUGGGUAAACGGGCUCAGGUCCAUGUAUUGACCCACGGGGCCCGCGGUCUAUGAUUAUGUCAUAUUUUUUGGCCCACCUCGCUUAACCCGUGGACUAUGCGGGUUUGGCCUGCGGGGUCCGCGGGUUGUCCGUAGCCCGCAUUAGGUUUAAUUUGUGUGAUCCUGACCCAAUUAUAUUAGGUUUGAUUUUCUCUUUUUCAAUUUAAACUUUUCUUUUAAAAUAACAGAUAAAGAAAUAUAUUAGAUAUGAUAAAGAUAUAAAGAUAAAAAUAAAAGAUUUAAAUUGAAAGAUGAUAAAGAUAAAAAAAGGAUAAGAUAACAAAAAUAAAAGAUUAAGAUAAAAAAGAUAAGUGAUAACUUGCUAAAAAUCUUUUUUUUAUAUUUUAUCAAUCUUUUUCUCUUUUAAUCUAUCAUUUUCAUAUCUGAAAGUCAUAAAUAAUAAAAAUAUCAAUUCUUAUCAUUUAAGCCAAAAAUAAUUGUUAAAUAAAUAUUUUUAAAGAUAUUUCAAUAUAUGUUUAUUGUAAAAAAUAACUCAUAUCAUAUUUAGUAGUUGUAGCAGGCUAAAAACAUUUUUUCUCCUCACGUGUGCUUAACAAAUAUCGAACUAGGCUUCUUGUUGACAACAUACAAGCCUUGAUAUAUACUAAAAAUUGGUUACUAGUAUUUGAUAUGCAGGGUAAAUAAUAUGUAAUAAUUAUUGUCUUUUAAUCACUUAGCUUGACUUUAUUCUAAUAUUUUAUUAUUUUGAGUUUUAGGAAAAGAAGAUGAAGAUAUGGAGAUGGAGAAGGCUCAAGCUACUUCAAAUAUGAAAUCAUUUGUUGUUGGAGAUGUUUAAAUUUCAUAUUUUAGAUUUAUUGCUUCGAUUUCUUUGUUAAGACAUUAUUUAUUUUAUUGAUAUAAUUGACUAAUUAUUGAGAUUUUAUUUAUCUUUGUAUUGAACUUAAUUUGAUUGUAUUAUAUUUUUAUUAAAAUUAAAAUUCUUUUAAAAUUAGGCUCGCGGACUGGCUCGUUUGACCCGCGGGAUCCGUGGGGCGGGGGCGGACCAAUUUAUUUCGUCUGUGUAAGAAGCGGGGCGGAUUGGCCCGAUCCGCUACCAAUGCGGGCUCAUGCGGACGGGCCUUACACGGGGCAUGCCGGUCCGCUUACCCACCCCUAGUAACUAUGCACGUGAUCUAUCUAAUGAAUUCCACCUCCUUUUUAUACAUCAUACACAUGCAAUGUUAAUCACUAUAAUAUAAAACAAUUUAAUUAUAUAUUAUUAUUACUAUGAUUUUUUUAAGAUAGUUAUAUUCAAUAUUUAUAUAAUUAUUAUAUAGGAUGGAUAAUGAUUUAAUAAUAUUAUAAAAUUAUUUUACAUUUGUUUGUGUAUAAUCUUGUUUUCUACAAAUAAAUAAAAAUAAUAAUAAAAUAAAACAUUAAUAUACCAUAAAAAAUAAAUAUUAAAAAAGAAAUGUAAAUAAUCAAUUAAAAUAUAUAAAUUUUAUAACAAUUUAUUCAUAUUUAAGUAAUUUUUAAAAUAUGUAUAUAAAUUAUUUUUCAAAUAAAUAUAUUAUUAAUAUACAUAAUUCAAACUAUGAAAAAUAUAUUAUUGAAAUAUUUAAAACACCAAAUACAUUUUAAAAAUUUGAUUUAAAUAAUAUUAAAAUUAAAACAUAACAAUCCCAGAAAAUAUUUUUAUAAAUCAGUAUUUUGUUGGAGAUAAGAAAAUACACUUUCGUUUUUAAUUCUAAAUAUUUUAUAAUGUAUUGUUGUUUUUCCAUACUGUAAUAUAUAAAAAAGAUGUAUAAUCUAUUUAAGUUUUAGUAUUUUAUACUGAAUUUCAAUUUGUUAGUUCUUUACAUAUUAAUUUUAUUUUUCAAAUUUUGUAGUAUCAUAUAUUACCUUUUUAAUAUUUGAAAGACUUGUAAUAUCAAAUAAAAUAAUAUUGCAAUUAAUGUAUAUAUUAACAUAUAAAAAUGUAUAGCAUAGAUAAAAAAAAAAAAAAAAUCAAACAUGAUCGACAAUGAAAGUUUAAAUAUUGAACAAGUUGUAUGAUGUCUUCUCGGGUACACCACUCUACUUCUCUAAGUGGUGCAUUGAUUUACUAGAUAAUUUUUUUUAAGGAAUCCAUUAAAUAUAUUUUUCUCCAAUCAUGAUAUUAUUACAAAGUUGUUUUUACGUGGUGAUUGAUUUUCAAGAUGGUGAGCACAUACAAGAUAAUUUUGAGGAUCCAAAGCACCUACAAAAUAGCUGAUAAGGUUUUAAGUUAUACUACAUACAAUUUGGUUAAAUUUUCUUAUAUUGUAAAAAAAUUAUAGAUAAAAGUGGUCACAAUUAUUGUCACCCCUACUGGAGAAAGAAGAUUCUAAAUCAAUUAUUUGGAGCGUUCUACAUAGUGGCCAAAAUCAUGAUCACCAACUAUUUUUUAAAACCUAGCUACAGAGGAUAAAGUCGUUGCUUAAACAUCAUCUCGCCUAUAAAUAGACCCAAAUAAUUUGAGGUUCCAUACUUCAAAAUCCAAAUCUAGCGAUUAAUUAUAGUUUAGGCAGCAAAUUAUGGAAUCCCAUGAUGAGGAGCAUGCUGCCAAACUACUUAGAGCUCAAACCCACAUAUGGAAUCACAUAUUUAGCUUCAUAAACUCCAUGUCCCUUAAAUGUGUGGUUGACUUAGGCAUACCAGAUAUCAUACACAACUAUGGCCAACCCAUGCCACUCUCAAACCUCAUUGCUUCACUACCAAUCCACCCAUCCAAAACUUGCUUCGUCCAUUGCUUGAUGCGAAUCAUGAUCCAUUCUGGCUUCUUCUCUCAACAAAACCAUGACUUGGAGAAUGAGCUAGAAGCCAAGUAUGUGCUAACCGAUGCAUCUGUACUAUUGCUUAAGAACCAUCCGCUGAGUGUGACACCUUUCUUGCAUGCCAUGCUUGAUCCAGUUUUGACAAAUCCAUGGAAUCAAUUUUCUACUUGGUUCAAAAAUGGUGACCCUACACCAUUUGAAACGGCACAUGGGAAGAUGUUUUGGGAUUAUGCUGGCGCUGAUCCGAAACUUAAUC
rnacentral:lncRNA from 1 species